AUACCUUUCUCGGCCUUUUGGCUAAGAUCAAGUGUAGUAUCUGUUUUUAUCAGUUUAAUAUCUGAUACGUGGAUCAUCGGUCUACACGAUAUUAACUUUAUUUUUUAAGGGAAAAAAUGCAAUAAGUUAGCUUGCUAACUGGGUUUUCACGAGUCGCCUAUGUGUUGCACUGCAACAUAGGCUUGGCUCAACCCUU
rnacentral:snRNA from 2 species